CCCCAGGUUCUGUCAGCCGCCGCUCCGACCUUUGCUUCUCCGCCCACCCUCCCAACGUUCUCAAGUUGGAAGCGACCUCUGCCCCAGUCUGUGUGCAGAUGGCGACUCAGGUGGCCUGGGCGGAGAUGAGGAAAGAGGCACAGGAAAGGAUUCACCACUAAAUGGGUGAGGCUGCCAUUCAAACCCAUUGGAAGCUGUGCUCUUGACCAUCUAUCUUGUGACAUUAAAGGAACAAUAUAUUGAAGCAUCUCCUAAGGAGUUUGUGGGGAAACUCCUUAAAAGUGUUAGGGUAUGGAUGGGUGGCAAAAAAUAAAGAAUAUUGAACUUCUCUUUUGUGAAUGUACUUCAAGAAAACAGAGCCUUUUAACAAAAUUCUAGAAUCAAGAGAUCGGCUAAUGUGGCAAUUUACAGAAUUGUCUAUGGAAAUUUGAACUUGCACUUGCAUUAUUUUCUCAAGCACUGAGAAAUCAGAAUGCUGCUU